GACGAACGCUGGCGGCGUGCUUAACACAUGCAAGUCGAACGGUGAAGCUCCAGCUUGCUGGAGUGGAUCAGUGGCGAACGGGUGAGUAACACGUGAGCAACCUGCCCCUGACUCUGGAAUAAGCGCUGGAAACGGCGUCUAAUACUGGAUACGAGAAGGGUCCGCAUGGGCACUUUCUGGAAAGUUUUUCGGUUGGGGAUGGGCUCGCGGCCUAUCAGCUUGUUGGUGAGGUAAUGGCUCACCAAGGCGACGACGGGUAGCCGGCCUGAGAGGGCGACCGGCCACACUGGGACUGAGACACGGCCCAGACUCCUACGGGAGGCAGCAGUGGGGAAUAUUGCACAAUGGGCGAAAGCCUGAUGCAGCGAUGCCGCGUGAGGGAUGACGGCCUUCGGGUUGUAAACCUCUUUCAGCAGGGAAGAAGCGAAAGUGACGGUACCUGCAGAAGAAGCACCGGCUAACUACGUG
rnacentral:rRNA from 1 species